rnacentral:snRNA from 1 species
GGAUGUGAGGGCGAUCUGGCUGCAACAUGUCACCUCAUUGAUCGCCAGGGUUGAUUCGGCUGAUCUGCCUGGCUAGGCGGGUGUCCCCUUCCUCCCUCACUGCUCCAUGUGCAUCCUUCCCUAAGCGGUGUGCUCGGUUGAAGAGGAUGACCUUCCCUGAUAGAAGGAGGACCGUCCUUCAGUCAGGGGUAUAUGAGAAGCUGCGUUCCCCUGCUAGAACCUCCAAACAAGUCUCAAAAAAGGAUGAACUGUCAUUUCUCUGAGGAAUUAACCACUGAAAAAUUAUGAAU